rnacentral:rRNA from 1 species
UACAGAGGGGGCCAGCGUUAUUCGGAAUUAUUGGGCGUAAAGGGCGCGUAGGCGGCUUUGCGUGUCUUUCGUGAAAUCCCUCGGCUCAACUGAGGACGUGCGGAAGAAACUGCAGGGCUGGAGUCCGGGAGAGGAGGGUGGAAUUCCCAGUGUAGCGGUGAAAUGCGUAGAUAUUGGGAGGAACACCGGUGGCGAAGGCGGCCCCCUGGACCGGUACUGACGCUGAGGCGCGAAAGCGUGGGGAGCAAACAGG